rnacentral:rRNA from 1 species
AGUGAACGCUGGCGGUAUGCCUAAUACAUGCAAGUCGAACGACCACACAAUAAGCUUGCGCCCUUACGGUUAGCGAGUGACGGAUGGGUGACACGUACAUCAGCUACUUCUUAUUCUGGGGUGAUAUCGUGGAAACACUUAUACUACUACCUCAUAUGUUCUACGGCAUAGAUCAAUGGAUCAACAGGCCUUUCGUGUCUCAUAUAGCCGAUGCCGGAUUAGCUAGUUGGGUGGGUAAGGUCCCACCAAGGCGACGAUCCGUAGCGGGUCUGAGAGGAUGAUCAGCCACACUGGAACUGAGACACGGUCCAGACUCCUACGGGAGGCAGCAGUGGGGAAUAUUGGACAAUGGGCGAAAGCCUGAUCCAGCCAUACCGCGUGAGUGAAGAAGGCCUUCGGGUUGUAAAGCCCUUUUGUUGGGAAAGAAAAGCAGCAGGUUAAUACACCGCUGUUCUGACGGUACCCAAAGAAUAAGCAACGGCUAACUUCGUG